AAUAGUCCUGUAUGUUAAACGAGAAGACUUCAGAUAUGAUCCAGAGUACCACGGGACACGUGAAACCCUGUGGGAAGCAGGAGGGACCACCCUCCAAGGCUAAAUACUACCUAGUGACCGAUAGCGUAUAGUACCGUGAGGGAAAGGUGAAAAGAACCCCGGGAGGGGAGUGAAAUAGAACCUGAAACCCUGCACUUACAAGCUGUGGAAGCACAUUUCUUGUGUGACCGCGUACUUUUUGUAGAACGGGCCAACGAGUUACGUUAAGUAGCAAGGUUAAGCACUUAAGGUGCGGAGCCGUAGCGAAAGCGAGUUUUAACUGAGCGUUCAGUUACUUGACGUAGACCCGAAACCGGGCGACCUACCCAUGAGCAGGAUGAAGCGAAAGUAAAAUUUCGUGGAGGUCCGAACCCACGAGCGUUGAAAAGCUCGGGGAUGACUUGUGGGUAGCGGUGAAAUUCCAAUCGAGCCCGGAGAUAGCUGGUUCUCCCCGAAAUAGCUUUAGGGCUAGCCUCAAGGUGAGAGAUACGGAGGUAGAGCACUGAAUGUCCUAGGGGGUAUUGCACCUACCGAAGACUAUCAAACUCCGAAUGCCGUCAUCUUAUACUUGGGAGUCAGACUGUGGGUGAUAAGAUUCAUAGUCGAAAGGGCAACAGCCCAGAUCGUCAGCUAAGGUCCCUAAAUGUAAGUUAAGUGGUAAAGGAUGUGGGAUUGCACAGACAACCAGGAUGUUGGCUUAGAAGCAGCCA
rnacentral:rRNA from 1 species